AACGCACGAGACCUGCGGACCUGCGGAGGGAUCAUUACCGAGUGCGGGCCCUCUGGGUCCAACCUCCCACCCGUGUCUAUCGUACCUUGUUGCUUCGGCGGGCCCGCCAUCAUGGCCGCCGGGGGGCUUCACGCCCCCGGGCCCGUGCCCGCCGGAGACUCCUGGAACGCUGCCUAGAAGAUUGUCGUCUGAGUGAGAUAGCAUAAUCGUUAAAACUUUUAGCAACGGAUCUCUAGAUCG
rnacentral:misc_RNA from 1 species